GGGGACCCAGGAGAGAGGCCGGCGCAAGUUGGGUGACAGCUCUGGGGGUCCGGAGGCGGCCCAGGGCUCCAGGACCCGCUUCCGCUCCAGGGCCCCGCCCGGAUGACUCCUGAACAGGCCACGAGGGUGGGGAGGGACCCACAGCCUCCGCCCCGCGGGGAGGCGGCGGCCGGCAGGAGUGAGGUGGCCAAAAGGGACGCUUGUGGGGGGACGUGGCGGGGAGGGGGGUGGGUGCCCGAGGUGGGAGAGUGUGUGGGAUUGGCGCAGCGGGAUCCGCACCUCUGCCCCGCGGCUUUACAAAGCCCACACAGCAGCCCCGCAGCCAGGCCGACCGAAAGCCACCGCCUGAGCCUCCAGUGUUCCCAGGUAGCCUCUGCACACCGCGGGGCGGGAUCGCGCGGCAGGUUUUAUAACAAUCAAGAAGCACAUGAAAGAAGCCUCUUUCAUCAAGUAUUCUUAAGUUAUGAAAAUGGAAUUGAAGCUUCUGUUCCUCCUUCGUGUGGAGAGCUUUGUUAACGUCAGCGGACAUUUUACUUCCAAAUGAGGCUACCUUCUGAGCAGGGUCCUCAAAGAGCAAAUUACACCUGACAAGGCUGUUUGAUGAAGAUUAGGAGUAGAUUAAGCAGUCCUUGAGCUUGCCGUUUAAACCACCACUACUGAUUUUGUGUACUAAGUCAAUAAGGAUACUUGGAGG
rnacentral:lncRNA from 1 species